UCUCUCCUCUUCUUCUCUCCUCUUCUUCUCUCCUCUUCUUCUCUCCUCUUCGGUUGACAUCCAGGUUGAUCAAUGAAAUAUUCCAUACCAUUAGCAUCACACUUUGUCUAUAAUUGGAGUUCAGGUUUUCUGGCUCACAAGUUCAGUGUGGUCCCAUUUGGGAGUUUCGUUAGUUCAUUUAGUUUUGUUCAGCCUUUCGCUGUUCUGCCGCUUUGCAGCUGGCCUUUGGGCCUUUCUGCCCUUGGGGUUUUUGCUUUCUCUGCUAUCUCGCUGGAAACAGCUCUUUGGGACCAGGGUGCUCUCCUCUCUGGAACUGGCUGUUCCAUGUGACUGGAGUUACAUGAGGGAUUGCACUGAAUAUAAUGUAUUUAUUUUUUAAAUAUAUAUUUUAUCAUUUUAUUAUUUUAUUAUUAGUAGUAUAUUAUUAUUAUUUUGUUGCCUUAUUAAAUGAUUUUUAUCUCAACCCACAAAUUUCUCCUUCUCUUUUGGUUUUCUCUCCCAUUUGGGGUGAGUGAGGUGGGGAUUGAGCAGAUGGCUAUCAUGGUUCUUAGUUGCUAGCCUAGGGUUAAACCACAACACUGCCUUACUUGACUUUUUAGAAAGUAGCUGUACUUGAAGAUUUUUUAUUUAUAGAAUAACAGGGUUUCAACUGAAAAGUGCUUCUCAUUGUGUAUUAAGUAUCUGGUGCUACCAACUUCUGUGUGUCUUGAAACUGACUUUGGGUUUUAACACUUAUGCAUUAAAGCACUUUCAACCAUGUGUCUUAUAUUCUUUAUUUGUUUGAAUCACUGUAGGCUGUUAAUCAAAAAUACAGCAAAAGGCAUGGAAAUAAGUACCAUCAGUAAUCAAAUAAUAGUUUAGAGUUCAGCAGCUGGCAAAAGACUGAUAAAGGAGACAUGAGUUGUGUGUGGAAUACCCUAACCAGCUGAGAUGCUAGGAGCUGAAACAUUGUUCCUUUUGUGUUUUACCCUGAUUAAGAUUUAAAGGGAGAGCAUAGUUAAAUGUAAGCAGUUUAUUUAAGAAUUUGUAAUUUAAACUCUUUUGAUAUGCAUUAACAUCAAAGCAGUCUGACAGCAAAUGCUGUCUGAAAGGAGACACUUUUAAGAAGUAAAAAUACUGGUUUGCUUAGAGAAAAACAGCCUGGAAAAUGCAGCAUUGCGCAUGAGAUCAAGUACAUGAUGCAGGAAGGAAACAUAUUGGGUCAUUGUGAAUUCAGCUUUUGCAAAAAAAAAACCAAAGUGAGACUGAUCCGCUGUCUGAAGCUUGCUUUCAUAACUAAAGGAUCUGGUGAGGCCUUUGGUUUUUGGUUUGCUUGUGAAAUGUUCUGGGCCAAACUAAAAUUUCACUUGCAAAGCAACUUAUUUUUUUAAAUCCAGACAUUUCAUAUAUUUCUUUACAGAACUUUUGUGUAUCUGCUUGCAGCAUUGUCAACAGAUAGUUGCACUGGAAUAAUCAAGGAGUGGGAAUAUGUGUGGAGGUUGAUCAGGAGGCAGGAAUCUGUCUAGCAAGUUUUGCUGUCAUAGAGAAUGCACGUAGAGCUACCACAGUGGCCAGCAAAAAUUGAGAUAGUAUUUCUAUCCACCUGAUGUCCAGGAAUCUAAUGAUUUUCCUGCAAACAUAAGUGAUUUGCAACAGGGGAACAGCAGGAGCCAAAGCAAUGCUCUGAAAAAGUGUGUGUGUUAUACUGUGACUCUCCUUUGGGACUGGGAAACUUGUGCUUGCGUGUGUCUGAAGAGAGGUGCUAGGAUUGCUGUGUUAUGUAAAUGGUUGCUAGAGCAGAUGGUUUGCUGAAGACUUCCAGACUGUCUUUCAACAGAUAGUCUCAAAAUGUUAGAGUGUUACUGCUUUUAACAUGCACGGAUAUGGAGGCAUGUAUAAAUUAUAUGACUACCAUUUCCAGAAAGGGCAAUGGGUAGCCAGGCAUAUUCUGCCCAUUGGUGAUGGUGGGUAACGCCAUUCAUGCUGACUAAUCCUAGGCUUGAUUAAAUUCCUGGCUUAAAUAUGUGCACUUCAGUGAUUAUUGUACUGCAGAAAUUAUAAUGGUGAAAGCUGUGUGGAUGUUUUUACAGUGAUAUCACAAGCCUCUUAAUAGGAUAGCUGUGCUGGAAUGAACUACCUUGAUGCCUAAAUGUGCUGUUAAAAAAAAAAAAAAAGCCAAAUGGGACUUGAAAUUUGGUUGCACCUGUUCUCUUAAGUCUGAAGAUUACAGGGACUGGCUGGUUAAUACACCUGUUUCCUGCUGUCCUGAGAACGCGCAAAGGUGGACAAAAAGCUCUGAGGAGCUGCAAAUAGGAUGUUGUCUUCACUAGAAUUCUGAAUCUGAUCAUAGUUGCAUAACCAUGGCCUUUCUGGCAUUUGUAGCUUAUUACAGACAUUAGACAUAUGGUGUAACUGUGUUACGGAUCAGCUUGAUAUACACUGAGUCAUUAAAAGCUGUUAGUUUUGCUAAACCCAGUGUUAAAUAACUGAAUAUUUACAGACAAGUUGUUAGUGGUCACUUUUUUUGCACUUUUAUUGUCCUCUGAAGUAUAAUCCUCUACACAAAGUAGCAAUAAAAAAUGGCAUUGGCUGUGUCACUUCAUAGUAUAGCACUUCUUUUUACUUGUGUUUUGAUGCUUAGGAUAUGCACCUCUAGUGAGGUGCACAGGGGAGUUUCCCAGACUGGGGGCAGCUUUGGGGGGAGCUGAGAUUGGCACGAGCUGCAGGCUCCUGGUGGCUCAGAGGCUGACAACACCUUGGUGGGGUCAGGAGCAAUGGUGGCCGGGGUUUGGCUCCUCAAUCCCCCAGCUUAUAGAAGCAGCCCAUGGGGAGUCGUUAGUGAACAGGGUGGGCAAACAGGGUGGUUUGCACAGAAGGGCAUGUAAGAAGGGCAUUGUAGUUCUGCCAGCUUGACCAGGGAAAAAUGGUAUCCAGCAGGCAGAAAGCCAUGGCCUCUCUAAACUCUGCACCCACCACAGUGGACACAGCUUUCCAGAUAGAGCUCUGGUGGGAACAUGCUGCCACCCAGGUGUCAGGCUGCAGGGUGUGCCCUACUUGUAUGCCAGUACAGGAUGGCAGCAGUGAGCACACCUGUGGGAGGUGCACUUAGGUAGAGAAACUCCCUCUGCUUAGUGAUAGAGCUCUGAGAGGAGAUUGAGUAGGUUGAGGAGUGUCAGAGAGUCCGAGAGAGAGACAGAUUAUUGGAAUCCCACCCUACCUUCCCUGGGACAGGUCUGUCAGGCAGACAGGGCAUAUGACACGGAGGACUCCCUGUCCUCUCUCCACUUUGCUGAAUGUGGUGACUCAAUGGAUAGAGGGCAAUGGUGACAAGUUCCUGCCCAGUGCAGCAGACGCAUCUCUUCUGUGACUACCCCACCUUCCCAUGUGCUCUUGCAUAAUAGGUAUGAGACUCUGCAAAUGGAACCAAACAGUGAUGAGGAUGAAGGUUCAUCUAGGUUGGAAGAGUUACCAAGGUUAAGUUAGCCUACACCCUGCAUCAAAACCACUUCCAUUAAGAAAAAAAAAUGGAUCAUUGUCAUAGGUGAUGCCUUCCUAAGGGGAACAGAAAGCACCACUUGGGCACUCACAAGUCUAUGGAGCCAGAUGGGAUACAGCCAAGGGUGCUGAGGGAGCUGGUGGAGUUGCUCACCAAGCCGCUUUUGCAUAAUUUAUCGGCAGUCCUAGCUAACCAGGGAGGUUCCAGUUGACUGGAGGUUAGUAUAUGUGAUGCCCAUCUAUAAGAAGGGCUGGAAGGAGUAUUUGGAGAAUUACAGGCCUGUCAGUCUGACCUUGGUGCCAGGGAAGGUCACGGAGCAGAUCAUCUUCAGUGUUGUCAUGUGGCAUGUACAGGACAACCAGGCAAACGGGCCCCAUCAGCAGGGGUUUAUGAGAGGCAAAUCCUGCUUGACCAACCUGAUCUUCUUCUGUGACAAGGUGACCUGCUUAGUGCAUAAAGGAAAGGCUGUUGAUGUUACAAUCAUAGAAUCAUUUUGGCUGGAGUGGUUGAGGGAUCUGGGGCUGUUUAGCCUGGAGAAAAGGAGGCUGAGGGGAGACCUUAUUGCUGUCUACAACUACCUGAAAGGAGGUUGUAGCAUGGAGGGUGUUGGUCUGUUCUCCCAAAUAGCAAGUGAUAGGAUGAGAAUAAAUGGUCUCAAGUUGUUCCAAGUGAGGUUUAAGUUGGAUAUUAAGAAAAAUCAUUCAUGGAAAGGGUUGUGAAGCACUGCAACAGGCUGCCCAGAGAAGUGGUUGAGUCACCAUCCCUGGAGGUUCUUAGGGUCAUGGUUUAGUGCUAGAGUUAGGACUCUAUGGUUAGACUCUAUAAUCUUGAGGGUCUCUUCCAACAAAGAUGGUUCUAUGAAAGUAGUAUUUAAAUUAAAACCAAGCAUGUUUGUCUCUGAUAAAAGGGGCACUUAACCUCACAGAUUCACGACUGCAGAAGGACUGAGAAGCAUUAGUGGAAAUACGAAGUAUGGUUUCUCAUCUGCAAAACAAAAGAUCUCUGUAGGAAUUUGAUGUAAACACCAGCUUGCUUAAAAUAGUCCACUCUGCAGAUGUGUGACUGUCAGACUGACCUCCCAGGUGGGACCCAUCAGCAAACCUUGUUUGGAAUAAUUACAUGAAAGUCUGUUAGUGUUUUAGUAUGGGUCGUAUUUUCUAGACCUUGGACCAUCCUUCUCUGGAUUCUUUAUAAAUCUACAUCUUCCUUAAUUUAUGGUUCCCUGAACCAUCUAUUUUAAGCCAUGGUCCGUAGAUUUUCCAGGAAGAAAAUCCACAUGGUAUAGAACAGAUUGUAUAGAAUGGCCCAUAUAAACUGUGUGGCACAUGCCUAGCAAGUCUAGUAUAUUCUGGACACAUUAGAUCUGUUGUAUAUGCAGUAUAAAAACUGAUCUUUGCUGGUCCUCUGCAGAGGCUGCUGGACCUUUGUGGUAGGGCAGUGUAUCUCAUAUGAAAGUGACCUAAAGCACAUUCCUAAAAGUGUAGCUCUGGUGGCUUGUUUUUAAGUUUGUGGAAGAUUCCGGACUGGUAAGUAAACAUUUAACAGGAGGUGAUCACAUCUUGAAUAUAUUCCAGAAACAUUAUAUUUACCUGGGAUUAAUGUCAUGAAAUUAGGCAAAGAUGGAUAUAAAAUACAAUUCUAAGGAGGGGGAAGUAAAACAUGGAAAUUCACGGAAACUUUCUGGGGAGACCUGUGUUGGAAGAGGAUUAGACAAUUUCAAAAUGCUGAGGCAAUGGUUCUGCGAGAUGUAGAGAAAGGGACACUUUGUUUGGAGAUGAUUGGCGGGGAGCUUUCAGGGUGUUGAAAGGUAAUUAUUCUGCUUUCAGUGCUAGGCAGGUCUAAUGAAAACUGAGUCUGGGGUACUAUAUUUAUAAGAUGAUGUGGAAAAAUGAGAGGGUUAAGAGGAAAGCAAGAAAAAUGGCUAGAAGGGUUGAUAAUGUCUCCUUUGAGGAAAGUUUGAAAAACUGUAUUUAGUAUAUUAAAAAGAGGAAAAAAGUGUCAGGAGACAUAAUAAGUCUUCAAAUGUGUCAACAGGGGCUGUAUAAGUGACGGUGAUAAAUUGGUCUUUACAUCAGCUUGGAAGAAACGGAUGAAAAUACUCUUAGUUCAUGAUGAAGAAUUCUUAGAUUGAAUGCUAGAAAAAGAACGUCAGAUGGCAAAACACUGUAGAAACACCAAGCAAAAUUUUGCAGUCUUCAUAUACAUUUUUGACUUGAUGAUGCACACCUAGGUAGCAGGUGAUGCAGAGCUAUAUGAGAAAAGGGAAAGCAGCACCUUUGUUCAUUUGUUUGGUGGCAUAAUCAAUGCUUCAUAAAUGUCUGUUCAGCAGAAGAGUGCAAGGAAGCAGAGCUAAGCCAGUGGGCGAAAGAAGACAAAGUAUGCUUUGGUGUGAAACAUCCUUCCUCUGUCUUAGAAACAAAGCAAACAUUCACAUUCACAAAUACACCUUCACCCGGUUUCUUGCAAAGAGCUGUGGGCAGUUCCUUGUGUGGGGGAUAUACUUAAGACUCAAGCGAGCCUUAUUCUUUUUUUUAUAGAUACUUUAGAAGGCUUUGUUUGUUAGGUCUUCCUACUAAAAUUUUAGGUAAGCUAGAAACCAACGUAAGUUUUUCUUUUAGUUGUGAUUAAAAAGGAGUGGGUGGGGCAGACACAGCAAAAGUAUGGAGAGUGCUGAAGAUACCUAUUCAGGUUUUGGCAUUCUUUUCUCAAAUUGAGACUUUCUAUGCUUGCUUUCUGCGUCAGUGAAUUAAAAUGACAGGUAAACAUUUCCAAAAUAAUGUCUAAAACACCGAAGAGGCCCAUACUAUUAAAUUUAUAACUUUAUGUGAAUUUUCAUGAGUUGUCUAAAAUUGACAAAACAUGCCUAUGGCAAAACAUUUUCUGUCAGAUACUGUGCUGGCUGUUUUCUCCUUGCUCUGAAAAGUUUGCCACGUCCGUAUGUGAAGCACAGCCUCUCAAAGUGUGUUUCUGCUUCCCAUCCAUUCUGAGCUAAGUGCAGUUAUAUCCCAAGCAUUAUUUUUAACUGCUGCUUCUUACUGUGGUUGAUCUCGUUUGAUCAGAAAAACAAACAAACAAACAAAAAACAGUUGAAAAUAAUAGCACUUUUUGCAUUUCAAACAGUCUGAAGUCUUAAGACUUGGGUUAUGCUGAGAUUUGACACUUGACAAAAAGCAGUGAGAAGUUGCUGGCAGAAGAUAUUGUUGUUUUAUUUAUGCAUUAUGAGACAAGGAACUUCAAGAAAAACUGAUAAUAUCUUAAGAGGCAUUACUAUAUCACUGUUUUUAGAGUAGGGAGAUUAUAAAGCCUUGACAGUGUUUUACUGUGAUUCAGUAAUUUUCUUCUUUUCAGCCUUAAAGUACUUUUGAUGUAAGCCAUUAAAGAGAAUGCAUUUUAUGCUCAAAUGUUGUUUAGUACUAUUUUGAAAAUCUUCAUGAUAGCAGCCAUUGUUCUAGGAGCUGGAUCUGUUGAUAUUCCUGAACAAGGUCAGAAGGAAUGUUUUAUACUUGUUUUGCUUUAGUUUUAUAGUAGUGGGGGCAGAGGGUAGUCAAUACUGAUUCUAAAUAUGCGUACGUUUGUAACAAAAAGGUGUCUUGUAUGGUAGCUUUGAAAUGGCAUUUGUCAUUUGUUGAACAGUAAGGUCUGCUAUGGUGAGAUGUAAAUAUAUGGAAUUAACCUAGCUUCUUUUAGGAGAUUUCUGGGGAAAACAAGAGGCAGUUAACACAGGUUCAUAUUUAGUGUAUCCCGUUUAGGCAGAAUUGUUAGUAAUCUGGACAAAUAUUUAGUCUUUUCUAAAAAAAAAAAAAAAAUAGCUGAAAUCCUGCAGCACUGUAUGUGGACUUGUAAAGGUUGGAGUAUACUAGUUACUUCUAUGGGAAAGAAUGAGUUGUAUUUCCAGGAACACAAUAUAUUAUCUUUUUGAAAAACAGUUCUUCUGGUGGAGUAAAAAGUGAAGAGAAAAUUUUCUGAACAAAUUGGGAAACUUUUUCUAGUGUCUCUGCUGUUUAUGGAGAGAUAUUUAUGUAAUGGGGUUUCGUUCUUUUAGACCACUAGUUGACUGUUCAGAAUAGGUGGAUGUUUCCUUGUGUUUUUCAUUUCUUGUGAGAAUCAGCUGUCUCUUACACCUCACUAUGGAUCAAGAUCCACCUUCAUAUGGGGUGAAUCCUAGAUUUGUUCUGUAUGCUGUCAGCAAGUUAUGUACAAUGGCUUUGGGAAAUGGACACCCCCCAGCAUUUUGAAGUGAUUUAUCUUUUUAAAAAUGUACUUGCUAAAAAAGUUCAAGUUGUUACUACCGUUGUUAUUCUAAAGUUAGGAUAAUCUCUUAAGUUAAAUACAGGAAGAAAAUGGUAAACAGUAUGCAUUUACUCUCUAAACUUUAAAAGAAAGCCAGACAACUGAAUUAAUGAAAAUCUCUUUGUUAGGCGGCUGGAACCAGAGAUGGCUGAAAAGCAGGCCAGUCAAAGUCAAAACACCAUGCGAAACAGAAGUUUUAAUAUUCAGGUUCUUCAGCUGACCCCAUUGUAAUGCUGUUUUAAUACCUGUUUCUUCUUUAGAGAGUUUGAAAAAUACUCUUUUGCUGUGUGGCAGUCUUGCUCACAGCUUGUUACUUGCCUGUGAAACACAUGCAGGUGAAUCUGUAGUUGAGCAUGUCUUUUGUUUUUCAGUUUUUUAGAUUCUAGGCUUUGAAAAGAGCAUAUUGAAGCUACUGCAGUCUUGGCAAAUAAUCCAUAUCAAAUUUGUCUGUCUUUAUUGGCUUCUUGAGAUGCACGGCAGUGGUUCAGCAGCUUUCAUUUGAAAGCCACAGGAACCCAAACCACUUUUCUUUCUUCGAAUAUUUGAACAUAAUGUAUGCUGCUCAUUCAAAAUACAGCAAGCAUUCCUAACUUCGGAUUUUCAUAUUUGCCUAUGUAAGAGUAAAAAAAAACAAAAACAAAAAACAAACAAACAAAAACAACAAAAACAAACACACAAAAAAAAAAAAAAAAACAAAAACCAAAAACAAACAAACAAACAAAAACCACAAACAAACAACAAAAACACCUACAGCCUCUCUCCCUGUUAGUUAAAGGUUCUCUAGGUACGCAGUGUCAGUAUUUUCUACCUCUGAACUCCCACUUCUCCAAAAUUAAGAUUUUAGCUACUCAGUUUAUUCUUUUUUUUGGCUGCAAAAACAUUGCAGAUGUGAAAGACUUCAGUUCUUUCUUGCCAGAGCUGCUGUGGAAUUAAAAUUACCAUAAUCUAUGCAGCCUUCAUUACUACUGUCCAGUAGUGGAUAUCAGCUUUGUUUUUCUACCCUGCUGCUUGGGAAAGAUUGACAGCAGGGCAGACAACUUGUCCCUCCUUCUCCUUUGUGUUUUCGUGUUUUUUUCUCCUUUUCUAUAAAUAUACAUAUAUAUUUAGUUGAAAAGUAUGAAGAAUACAUGAUGGGAAAUUGCUUGUUGACCUCACAGUUUCCCAGCUCAAUGGAUGCCACAAUUGACCAGUGUUUUGCAUAUGUGAUAAAGGAAACAGGUACUUUAGUCUCUUAGAAGUUGACUGUGAAUGUAUACUUGUAACAAUUAAGAUGAUCUGUGUUUUUCACCAGGAGUCUAUCAUCUUUAGAAGUUAUUGCAGAUUCAAUUGCCUUGCCAUAACUUUGUGCAUGCAGAUUGAUAUAUUUGUGGGUUCACUAUUCCAGUACCUAUGCACUGUUUUCCUUAGAAGCAUUUCUAGCAAGCAGUAAUUAUCAUGCAGAAUACACAAGUAAACAACAGAGUAAUUUUUAUGAUAACGUAAAGUAAACAAAUUGUAUUAAAUUAUAAACAGCUUCUAAUAUGUCUCUGUUUUGGAGUGAAAUGGGAACCCUCACUUACUUUUAACGUUAUUCUCAGGCAGGGCUAUGCGAUCCAGAAGGUAAAGCUUUGAAAUUUUGAAUUUUUAUCUCUUGGGAUGAUGUAUGAAAUUGAGAGUGUUCUAAGAGUAGAACCAGAUGAAAUGCAACAACUGGAAGAAUGUAUGUGAGCAGUGGUGAUUGCACUGGUUUUAUGGAGUUACCUUUCAGAUUAAUUUUUAUUUCUGUUUUACAAGGAAUGGGACUUUUGUACAGAUUGUAAAAGUAGAUAGAUAUACGUAAUACUAAUUUGGAAUUUGUUAUUUGUUUCUCCUGCAACAAACUCAACUCAGCACUAUGGUUCAGUGGACUAACACUUUUGAUUUUGCAAUGUACAGUCCCUGAUUUGUCAUAUUGAUCUGGAUUUGUAGGCUACAAAAUCAGAUACUGUGUUGAAGCUCCAGUUUAACAGAUUUGGAUUAUAUCAUUGUAUGCAGUUCUUUAGCUCUUGCAAUGUUUUGUCCUUAGAAAGGAAAUAGAGAAAAAGAAUGCUGUGUUACAAAUGCUUGUGAAUGUAUUUGAGUAACACGCAUGUGCAUUUUACAAAAAUGAGUCACUUAAUGAGUCACAUCCAUCUCUGUAGAAGCCUUAAUGCAUUGUCUGUGAGGAUAUCCUCACUGAGGGAGAGAGGAGAUCAUGGUGUUCUUUUUAAAAUCUCCAAUCAACUGCAUGGAAUUCAACCCCCACUAUGUAUUAAAGAUGUUUUCAUCUGUCU